rnacentral:rRNA from 1 species
GACGAACGCUGGCGGCGUGCUUAACACAUGCAAGUCGAACGGACAGGCCCUGCUUUUGUGGCGUGCUCGAGUGGCGAACGGGUGAGUAACACGUGUGUAACCUGCCCUUGACUUUGGGAUAACUUCAGGAAACUGGGGCUAAUACCGGAUAGAAGCUCCUGCUCCAUGGUGUGGGUUGGUAAGUUUCGGCGGUUGGGGCUCGACUCGCUGCUUAUCCGCUUGUUUGUCGGGUAGUGGCUUACCAAGGCUUUGACGGGUAGCCGGCCUGAGAGGGUGACCGGCCACAUGGGGACUGAGAUACGGCCCAGACUCCUACGGGAGGCAGCAGUGGGGAAUAUUGCACAAUGGGCGGAAGCCUGAGGCAGCAACGCCGCGUGCGGGAUGACGGCCUUCGGGGUGUAAACCGCUUUCGCCGGUGACGAAGCGUGAGUGACGGUAAUGGGUAAAGAAGCACCGGCUAACUACGUG